GCCCCGCACGGAGAGGGCGAUGGAACCAGAGCCACAGUGAUUCGCUACGAGCCCAUUUCACAGAUUGAAGCUUCGAGAGAAGUGCCACCCACACCCGUGGCACAGGAUCUGAAUCCCUGACUGCACGGAGUGUGGAAGCUUUGCUCUGCCUCCCAGGAAUAAGUAAUCAACUCUCAUUACGUAUGGACAGUGUCUCCCUGAAAGGGAGGCUCGGAAGUGGUGUCUGCCUCCUGUAAAACUGGUCUAAAAGAGUAACAGGAUUGUCAAAAGAUGCUUUUCCAAGAAAGAGCCUUGGGUGCCUCGCCUCGCCUUGCUGCCAGUGGAGCUGCUUCAUCAUCAAGCCCAGAGGAGUAUCUUUAUUCAACAAGGGGUCCAUGACAUUAGCACUUGUCAUCUGCCUCUGUAAGGAUUGAAUCAUGAACCACUGCAGCUGCUGACCCUCAACACCCCCUGCAAGAAUUCAAGGAGGAGGAGUGAGGCACUCCGUGCUCUGGGAAAACUGGCAGAACAGGUCUUCGAAUAGUUAGAUAUUUUCAGAAGAUUUUAUUAGCCCAGUGCUUGCAUUUCCUUAUAUCCAGAAAAGCGCUAAAAUCCCUCAUGGUGACCUCUGCUCCUUGGGACUAGCAGUAACCUUCACAAGACUAGCAGUGACCUUCUGCAAAAUGUAUGCUUAAUUGCCUGCACUUCCCCCCUUCACCAGUCACAUAUAUCCUGACAUUUCCCCACCACCUCUCUGGAGCAGUUUUGCAAAGCUAUGUCAAAUGCUGCUUCCCAGGCUAUAGUCUUCAUUUUGCCCCAAAUGAAACUUAACUCACAGCUCUAACAUUGUGUAUUUUCAUAAAGCUGAUACUUCCUUCUCACUUCCUCCUCCAGAAAACAGCCUCAGGAACAGAAAUCCAGGUUCUGAGUUCGUAGAUCUUGGACAGAGACUUGGAUCUAAAUUUUUAAAAAUCUCUCUUGGGAAUUAGGAUGCCCACAUGAAUUGACUCAGAAGAAGGCUUUUUUCGCAGGAAUGCCAAGAAUUUCUCACACUUGGUAGUGGGAAGUUGUCAAAGAACUGUCAAACCCACAGGGAUUCUGGCAGCUCAGAGUGAAUUGGCUGCCUAGUCUUUGAAUUUACCAAAACACACAUACAUUACUUUCUUGUGGCAGAGGCACAAAAUACUAAAACAUGCAGGGUAAAACAAGACACCCCUCUGAGUCACUAACUCCCCUGGUGCUCGGUGCUUCCAACCUAGUCCCUUCAGCUGGUGCUUCCAACCUAGUCCCUUCAGCUGGAAGAGUCUACCUUCCUAGGGAGGUAGACUCCCUAGGAAGUCUACCUAUCUAAUGGAUAUUCAGGCACAAAUGUAUAUACAUGGGAUUAAAUAAUAGAUAAUUUGGAAUUUGCUUCUACAUUCACAUUCAUCUCAGUCAUAAUAUCAAAUCUUAAAGAUGGUUCUAUGUUAGAAUACUUAAAUCUCAGACAGGCUGGGACCUGGGGCCUUGCUGCAGUGCUUGUACCUAACCAAACAUCUCCUUGAGCAACAAAAUACAAAGAAACUCUAAGGGACUAAAAAUAACUGCAUGAAGUGCACUUGGGGCAAAUUAUGAACAAUAAGAUACAAAAAGACCAAAAACCCAAUGCCUCUUCUGAGGUGUCAAAGACACAAACAGGGUGUCAGGACCCAAAGCAGGAUACUAUGCAUGCCCUCUGCACACAGCACCACAAACAGAGUGGGCAGGCCACCUAACCACCCCUCCUCCAGCCAGACCCAUUGACCUGCUCCUACCUUCACCCCACUUAAGGGUCUAGCUUGCCAUCUGUCAGGGAGCCAGAAAGGGAACCUGUUACUUGUUUUUACCCACUGGAGCUGAGUCCAAACAAAGCCUUGCCUGAAUUUCUCCUCUGGCCUCUUAGCAAUUUCUAUUGAUUAAAUAGUCUAAGAACCCAGGUCAGUGACAAAUCCAUCUCAUUCCUUUGAAGAGUUGCAAAAUGUCUUAUGAUGGAUGCACUGUUAUUCCUCCCGACAAGCUCCUAUUGAUGGACAUGGAGUUUGUUUCCUGUUUUUUGUUUUCUAAUAUAAAGCAUACUAAAGUGAACAUCCUUUUGUACAUAUCUUUAUGUAUUACAUAACUCUGUAUUUCUGAAAGUCUUGAUUCCUGGAAGAGGAAUCAUUGAUUCAGAGGGCCUUUUAAUUUUGCUGGAUAUGCCCAAAGGCUCUUAAAAAUCCCAAAGGAGGGGCCAGGUCCUGAGAGCACAGGACUCAAAGGUGCAUCCAAUUACACUGUAGUCUGUGUUGGAGUUUUGCUGCAGGGGUUUCCAUUAACAUAAAAUACUUCUGGUGUGGAGCCAACUGAAGUUGUAGAUCUAGGAGCCCUGUACAUUCUCCAAUACUGGGUAUUUAUCUUUAAAAAUUCUUUUUCUUUUUAUGGCCACACCUGCUGCAUAUGGAAG